rnacentral:rRNA from 1 species
CGUGCAGGCGGCCUGUCAAGUCAGAUGUGAAAGCCCACGGCUCAACUGUGGAAGCGCAUUUGAAACUGUCAGGCUUGAGUACCAGAGGGGAAAGUGGAAUUCCCGGCGUAGAGGUGAAAUUCGUAGAUAUCGGGAGGAAUACCGGUGGCGAAGGCGACUUUCUGGCUGGAUACUGACGCUGAGACGCGAAAGCGCGGGGAGCAAACA